AUUAGGACAGGACAUUCGGAAACUCCACUGAAUUGUAAGUAGAGUAGCUACGAUCUUAUACAUGUUCCUUUCCAUAACCGCAAACAUAUUUUCAGCUUUGAAGCACCUUCUAAUAAACCGCUUUCGAACAUCAGUGCGAACUUUUUGUCCUGUAUCAACAUCUUCAAAGAAUUCAUGGCAAACGACAUGGAUUCGGUUGGCACACCCGAUCCGAUAAACUCAGGAUGUGUUGCGUGCAACAGAUCGCAUACGGCGGAUAACUUCGUAUGUUGCGAUAAAUGUAACUGCUGGUGGCACUUUUCGUGCGCUAGUGUAACGGCAUCUGUCGAAAAUCGUGAUUGGAUCUGCUCACGGUGUCUACCAGUUACACACGCCCGAGUAUCACUGGCUUCAUCCGCUGGAUCAGUCACUUCUAGUCAGCGGCGGCGUCACGAAGAACAUCUAGCUCUCCUGGCGGAGCAACAACAGUUAGAGAAGCAGCAGCUGCAACAGGAGCAUGAACUGCAACGGAAACAUCUGGAGCAAAAACGCCAACUAUUGUCAGUGCAGGAAGCUGACGAGAACCAAAGCGUUCGUAGUCGUCGUUCCGUCCACUCCCGCACUAGUCAGUGGGUCAACAAACAUGCAGAUAUCGUACCUGUGUGCGAGGAAAGUGGCGCAGUGGGAGGAAUCUUACCCCAGCAGGACGCCCACUCAUCACAGGUAAACGGUAACCAGUGGCUAGCGGGUCAAGAUCCAUCAGAGUCGCAAGUCAUCAAGGAGCUUCAAAACAAGUUGAGGCAGCAUGAAGCAGAUUCUCGGCAACAGAUCGAAAUUCUGAAAACCCAGCUCGAGAAACUACAAGUCGAGUUACAAACUAAAGGAGCUGAUCAAACGACCUCAAUAAUAAUCGAAAGAGGAGCAAUACCAAAACAUCGCCCGGUGUUGCGGAACGUGCCUCCGGUGUCAGUACGCCAGUCUAACCCGAUCGAUUGGGAAAUAUCUCCCGUAGAAAUGGGAACAUCCAAACCAGUAGCAACAGAACAGCAGGUCAGCCGCGUAUUCCGAGGUCAAGUGGAUGUAGGAGCCCCGAUGAUGCCCACCAUUCCGAAUCAAGAAUCUCCAGUUGUAGAUACGGAACAACAGCGAGGCCUUCCGACUACUGCGAUCAACAGAGAUCGCAUACAAAAGUCCGUCACGAACAAUUCGGUACAGAAUCGCCCACCACCGGAAAGGCGGCCUGGUACUAUGCCGAUGCCACAGAUGCCCCUCGGGAAUCAGGCAAGAUCGUUUGAUUUUCCCCCACCGGUAGCCCACCAUGGAAACGUGACUAGAAUUACAUUAUCACCAGAACAACUGACGGCCAGGCAGGUGCUCCCACGCGACUUGCCAGUGUUCUCCGGGGAUCCAGCUGAUUGGCCCGUAUUUAUUAGCAACUACAACUACACCACUGAAGCCUGUGGGUAUAGUGAAGGCGAAAACAUGAUUCGGCUACAACGCUGCCUUAAGGGUGCCGCCUGGGAAUCGGUGAGGAGUAGGCUGAUCCUCCCAGCAUCUGUACCCCAGGUCACCGAAUCUCUGCGGAUGCGGUUUGGCCGAGCCGAUCUAUUAAUUGAAUCGCUUAUUGAAAAGGUCAGAACAUCUUCAGCUUUGAGAGCUGAUAAGCUAGACACGUUGAUAGAGUUCGGAACAUUGGUUCAAGGACUCCGCGCUCAUAUCAUCGCAGCAGAGCUGUUAGAGCAUCUGGAAAAUCCAACGCUCCUCAAGGAUCUGGUAAAUAAGCUCCCUGUGGACUAUAAAAUGAAGUGGGCGGGCUAUCGAAGGCAGGCUGGUGCUGUUAACCUAGAAACGUUCAGCAUGUUUAUGGCAGGAAUUGUGGAGGACGCAUAUAGCGUGUCAACCCUAGCGCCAAGUGAAAGGCCACCGAGACGUGACAAACAACACACCGAUAGAAGUUUUGUACACAACGAAACCGACGUGAACGAUCUGGCUCUAAAUCAUGAAAACAGGAAAGAAACUCGUAAUGUUUCCGAAAUCGUAUGUUCAUUUUGCCGCAAACCUGGGCACCGAACGAAGGAAUGUACAUCCUUUUUAGCCCUGACCGUCGACGAACGCUGGAAACAGGUACACAACCAAGGACUCUGUCGAACAUGUCUAUUCGGACACGGGCGCAGAACAUGUCGUAGCACGAACCGCUGUGGAGUAGACGGUUGCUACUUCCGUCAUCACCCACUGCUACACUCUCGCAUUUCGAUUCCUCAGCACCAAGCAGUUGAACAUAAUGUACAUCAACAAGAGGUCGAUGUAACCAAAUUGUUUUUCCGUAUCAUACCUGUGACACUCCAUGGACCGACAGGAAGCAUCGAUACGUUUGCCUUCUUAGAUGAAGGUUCGUCGUUGACGAUGAUAGAGACCAGUUUAGCGAACAAACUAGGAAUCGACGGGCAGGAACAUCCACUUUGCCUAAAAUGGACAGGCAACAUCACGCGCGAGGAGAAACAGUCCUGCAGAAUCGCCUUGGAGAUAUCAGGACUACGGAACAAAAAACGUUAUUGGAUGAGCGACGUUGGUACAGUUCCAUCACUGGACUUGCCUGUACAAACUCUGCCAAUACAACAUAUGAGACACCGCUAUACCCACCUCCGCGGAGUUCCAAUUGAUGGGUACCGCGAUGCUGUACCUCGCUUACUGAUUGGUAUUGAUAACCUGAGGCUGACACUGCCUUUGAAAACACGGGAAGGUGAACAAGGUCAUCCGGUAGCAGUGAAAACACGUCUGGGAUGGUGCGUUUAUGGAGGACAACGAGAUGGCCGUCGGGAACCUGUGAGCUUCCAUAUUUGUGAAUGUGAAGACGGAAGAUCGAUGGAGAACACCAUAACUGCAUAUUUCGCCACGGAGGAGGUAGGAGCCCGCCCAGUCGCUGAAGGUCUGUCGAAAGAAGAGCAACGUGCACUGCAGAUAUUGCAACAAACUACAAUCCAUGUCGGUACACGAUAUGAAUCUGGACUCCUUUGGCGAUAUGAUCACUUUGAACUGCCGGAUAGUUAUCCAAUGGCUUUCAAAAGGUUGCAGUGUCUACAACGCAGGAUGAACAAGGACCCGGUGCUGAAAGAAGAACUCCAUAGGCAGAUUCAAGAGUAUAUAAGAAAAGGGUACGCGCAUAGGGCCACAACCGAGGAAUUAGCAUCGAUCGAUCCACGGCAGCAAUGGUUCCUACCUUUAGGAGCGGUUGUCAAUCCUAAAAAACCGUCUAAAGUUCGAUUGAUUUGGGACGGGUCUGCAAAAGUCGAUGGCAUAUCUCUCAAUAGCAUGCUGUUGAAAGGACCCGACCAAUUAUCGUCUCUUCCAGCUGUUGUAUUUCGCUUUCGGCAGCACAAGGUGGCCAUAGUUGGUGACAUCAAAGAAAUGUAUCACCAAAUACGUAUCAGUAAGUCUGACCGGUAUGCGCAGUGCUUCUUAUGGUCACCCGAUCCCUCAUCAGAACCGGAAAUAAUGGUGAUGGAUGUGGCAACUUUCGGAGCUACUAGUUCCCCAGCAACUGCACAGUUCGUGAAGAACACGAAUGCCAUGAGAUUCGUCGAAAUGUUUCCGAGAGCAGUCGAUGGGAUCAUCCACAACCACUACGUGGAUGAUUACCUCGAUAGUUUCCCCGAUGAAGAACAGGCUAAACAGGUAGCGACCGAAGUUCGAGAAGUGCACAAAAGCGGUGGAUUUGAAAUCCGCAAUUGGUGCUCCAACAGUCAAGCGGUAUUGGAACACCUGGGUGCAGGGCAAGAAAAAUCAGUGAAAUGCUUGAAUCUGGAGAAUAAUAUUAUAUCAGAACGUGUUUUGGGCAUGCUGUGGAGGAGCGAAGAAGACGUAAUAUGUUUUGAGACUGCUAUGCGUGCGAACAUAAGGAUACUCAUCGAAACGAACAUCAAACCGACCAAGCGUCAGAUAUUGCAGUGUGUAAUGACGCUAUUCGAUCCCCUGGGACUCUUGGCGCCUUACCUGAUAUUCGGAAAAAUCCUUAUCCAGGAUGUGUGGCGCGCCGGAAUCGGAUGGGACGAACAGGUGGAUGACAACACAUUCAAAGCUUGGCAGAAAUGGGUAAACAUGAUUCGUGACAUAGAUCAAGUGAGCAUCCCGAGGUGCUACUUUCGUAAUCCAGACGGCUACAGCUUUACCAAUAUCCAGCUGCACGUGUUCGUUGACGCUAGCCCACUUGCGUAUUCCUGCGCCUGCUAUUUCCGAAUAAUCAACGCUAAUGGAGAAGUCGAAGUGGCGUUAGUAGCUGCUAAAGCUAAAGUGGCGCCGCUCAAACCAAUGAGCGUCCCAAGACUAGAGUUACAGGCCUGUGUCCUGGGGACGCGAAUGCUGAAGCUAGUGCUAGAUGGGCAUACGAUUCCGGUGGCCCGACGCUAUCUCUGGAUCGACUCAACUACAGCUUAUACAUGGAUCCACAAGGAUCCACGUAUAUAUCGUCCAUUCGUCGCUCAUCGCGUAGGAGAAAUCUUGGAAUCUACCAAAAGAGAUGAAUGGCGAUGGAUCCGUUCAAAGAUGAACUCAGCAGACGAAGCUACCAAAUGGGGUGUCGGACCCCACUUCUCCAAAGAUAGUAGUUGGUUCAAUGGUCCGAAAUUUCUACAACUUCCCGAAACCCAAUGGACCCUGUCUAUACCUACCGAAAAAUGCGAUGACGAAGAACUACGGGCAUGUCACGUACAUCAGGAGCUGUAUCAACCAGAGAUGAUUGUCGAUGUUAGACGCUUCUCAUCGUGGAAUAAACUCCUGCGAGCAACUGGUUAUGUCCAUAGGUUCCUCACAAAUAUUCGCAAGCUACCUACAGGACGAGUCACCGGUCAUCUCACUCGGAGUGAGCUACAAGAAGCAGAGAGAACCCUUUUCAAGCUUACCCAACGAGAAGUUUAUGCGGAGGAAGUCAUUGUCUUGAUGGUCGAACAUGAAUCGGAACAGUCUACUUGCAAAACUGUGCCAAGAAAUAGUGCUCUAUAUCAGUUGAACCCAAAAAUCGACCAAUAUGGAGUGCUCCGAGUUGAUGGCCGAAUCGGAGCAGCUAAGCGAGUUCCAUAUAGUGUAAAGCAUCCGGUGAUUCUCCCAAGGAAACACUACGUUACCAAGCUGAUCCUUGAAGAUAUGCAUAGGAAAUUUCUACACGGUAAUAACGAAACAGUUGUAAAUGAGUUACGCCAACAAUUCUACAUACCCCAGUUGCGCAGAGAGGUAAGAAGUGUUGCUAGCCAAUGCCAGCUUUGCAGAAUCAGAAGGGCCCGGCCGGUCCUUCCACAAAUGGCUCCUCUACCAGAAGCCAGAUUAUCACCAUUCAUCCGUCCAUUCACGUAUACCGGUGUAGAUUAUUUUGGCCCUGUUUUAGUAAAAGUCGGCAGAAACAACGCUAAACGGUGGAUCGCACUAUAUACAUGCCUCACGGUCCGGGCGGUGCAUGUGGAACUCGUACAUAGUUUAACCACGGAAGCAUUUGUUAUGAGUUUGCGCAGAUUUGUGGGUCGUCGUGGGGCACCACUUGAAAUUCAUAGUGACAAUGGCUCCAACUUUCACGGGGCAGAACGGAUACUAAGGGAGCAAAUAUACGCCGGUCUAGCGGCGACAUUCACUAACACCAACACUACUUGGCACUUCAUCCCUCCCGGGGCCCCCCACAUGGGGGGAUGUUGGGAGCGUAUGGUGAGGUCAGUCAAAUCUGCAAUAUCAACGGCGUAUGGCGACGAGAAGCUGGAUGAUGAAGCGCUCCAAACGUUGUUGAUUGAGGCUGAAUCAAUUGUUAAUUCCCGUCCUUUAACGUACCUACCAUUGGAGUCAAGUGAACAAGAAGCGAUCACCCCUAACCAUUUCCUACUUGGUAGUUCAUCAGGGGUGCGACAACCAACAGUGCAACAAAUCAGCGGCACUCAAGAUCUUCGACGUUCCUGGACCACCCUACAACGACAGUUAGACAGCUUUUGGAGAAGGUGGAUUCGCGAGUACCUGCCGACGCUUACAAAACGUACCAAGUGGUUUGGUAAAACGAAAAAUAUAGAGCCUGGUGAAUUGGUAAUAAUCAUCGACGAUAAGAAGCGGAAUAGUUGGAACAGGGGGCGUAUUUUAGAAACGAUUACCGCAGAAGAUGGGGUUGUUAGACAGGCCGUUGUUCAGACUGCAGGAGGAAUUCUACGACGCCCGGCUUCAAAACUUGCCGUCUUGGAGGUUUCAGAUGGUCAUGGAACCUCAACCGAGGGUUCCAUCGGGGGGAGGAUGUUGGCGCGCGAGAAACCAACUGGCAACACGGAUCAAUCCUGAUUUGACAGGCGGUCGUGGAUACUACCUACCUCCUGAGACGUCAUUCUGUCAUCGUGAUAGAUCGUAAUGACUAAGCAUUAUUAUGCAUUGCAUCUGAACUGAUUUAUUUAUAUUGAAUAUCAAAAGUAAUCGAAUUUGUAAAAUUAGUUUAAAUUUAUUAAUAUUGUUUGCCGGUUCACGAAUUAGAAGUAUGUAGCCUAUAGGCAGCCGUUACACCUACUAGUGGAGAGAAUUUAUAUAGCCCAAGCUGAUAGUACUAUACAGUAAGCUAGAUCUCGACUGCUU